CGCCCUGGCUCUUCUGCCCAAUGGCAGAGCCGGCGCCGCCUUCUUCAAGCGGGGCCCAUCCUGAGCCUUUCGCCCCGGAAGUCCGAACUGGCGCCCGUAACUAUUUCCUGUAAACAGAUGGGGGGGGGGGGGGAAGCUGUCGCUCAGACUGGCUGGCUGGCUGUUGCCACUGCUGUUGUAGCUGCAGUCCGCUGCGCUCCCAGCCGUGCACCAAGAAUUGUAGCUGACAAAGAUGGAGGCAGUUUAUAUUUGGCAAUUCCGCUUCCUGUAGAAAUUAAUGUCCAAGGAUUGAUAGCGCAAUCUAAUGUGCGUUUUCUUAGAAAUAACAGUUCAGUUGGGUUCAACAGGGCUUCUUACUCCAAGCUUAGUGUACACAAGGCCCAGUGCGGCCAGCCCAGGACCGCUUUGCCGCCUCCUUAGCAGCCCACUGGGCCACAGCAGCAGUGGCUGCCCUGACAUCCAUAAUCGGGUGCCAGUGGAUGGAAAUGCAGGAAGAGGUUACCUGUGGCUCCACCAAGCUAGCUUCUGGGGCAAGGUCAUCUUGGACUAUUGGCAGCUCCAGGACCAACUGUUCAAAAUCUGUGAAAGAUAGUGGGAAUUUAUGAAGAAGAAAAAGCUUGAAGGUACCCAAGAAGCAAAACCAGGCUGAUUUCAGAAGCACCAUUGUGUGCUUUGGGUCUCAGUGUCUGCUUUUUCAAAUAAAAUUCCUUGCCAAUUAACCCAACACAAGGAAACAGUAAAAAUACACACAAUUUAGCAUUAAAUCAAUAAACAGUUAAAAUGUC